rnacentral:miRNA from 1 species
GUUGCUGAUGAAGAUACUGAAU